rnacentral:rRNA from 1 species
AUUGAACGCUGGCGGCAUGCCUUACACAUGCAAGUCGAACGGUAACGGGCCUUCGGGUGCCGACGAGUGGCGAACGGGUGAGUAAUGCAUCGGAACGUACCUUUCAGUGGGGGAUAACGUAGCGAAAGUUACGCUAAUACCGCAUAUUCUGUGAGCAGGAAAGCAGGGGAUCGCAAGACCUUGCGCUGAUUGAGCGGCCGAUGUCAGAUUAGCUAGUUGGUGAGGUAAAGGCUCACCAAGGCGACGAUCUGUAGCGGGUCUGAGAGGAUGAUCCGCCACACUGGAACUGAGACACGGUCCAGACUCCUACGGGAGGCAGCAGUGGGGAAUUUUGGACAAAUGGGGGGCAACCCUGAUCCAGCCAUGCCGCGUGAGUGAAGAAGG